rnacentral:rRNA from 1 species
CCUACGGGGUGCAGCAGUAGGGAAUCUUCCACAAUGGGCGAAAGCCUGAUGGAGCAACGCCGCGUGGGUGAAGAAGGUCUUCGGAUCGUAAAACCCUGUUGUUAGAGAAGAAAGUGCGUGAGAGUAACUGUUCACGUUUCGACGGUAUCUAACCAGAAAGCCACGGCUAACUACGUGCCAGCAGAUGCGGGAAUACGUAGGUGGCAAGCGUUAUCCGGAUUUAUUGGGCGUAAAGGGAACGCAGGCGGUCUUUUAAGUCUGAUGUGAAAGCCGUCGGCUUAACCGGAGUAGUGCAUUGGAGACUGGGAGACGUGAGUGCAGAAGAGGAGAGUGGAACUCCAGGUGUAGCGGUGAAAUGCGUAGAUAUAUGGAAGAACACCAGUGGCGAAAGCGGCUCUCUGGUCUGUAACUGACGCUGAGGUUCGAAAGCGUGGGUAGCAAACAGGAUUAGAUACCCGUGUAGUC